rnacentral:rRNA from 1 species
CCUUACUGCUAUCGAGAUGGGACUAAGCCAGGCCAGUCGAACGACCCGAACUAAGGCGGGAAGUGGCAUACUGCUCAGUAACACGUAGCUAACCUAACCUCAAGACGGAAACAACCCCGGGAAACUGGGGUCAAUUUCCGAUAGAUGUGAAAUCCUGGAAUGGUAUCACAUCCAAACGUCACCACACCAUGUUGUGCGAACGCCUGAGGAUGGGGCUGCGGCCGAUCAGGCUGUUGGUGGGGUAAUGGCCCACCAAACCUUUGACCGGUACGGGCCAUGAGAGUGGCAGCCCGGAGAUGGACACUGAGACAAGGGUCCAGGCCCUACGGGGCGCAGCCGGUACGAAACCUCCACAAUGCACGCAAGUGCGAUGGGGUUAUCUCGAGUGCUACCUUAACCGGUAGCUUUUCCAUUGUCUAAAUAGCCGUGGGAAUAAGGGGGGGGCAAGACUGGUGUCAGCCGCCGCGGUAACACCAGCCCCCCGAGUGGUAGGGAUGAUUAUUUGGCCUAAAGCGUCCGUAGCCUGCUAGGUAAAUUUCUCGUUAAAUCCAACGUCCUAAGCGUUGGGCCGCGUGAAAAACUGCCAAGCUAGAGGGUGGGAGAGGUCAGCGGUAUUCCUGGGGUAGGGGCGAAAUCCAUUGAACCCAGGAGGACCACCAGUGGCGAAGGCUGCUGACUAGAACACGCCUGACGGUCAGGGACGAAAGCUGGGGUAGCGAAUCGGAUUAGAUACCCGAGUGGUCCCAGCCGUAAACGAUGCAGACUAGGUGUUGGGUUGUCCACGUGCCGACUCAGUGCCACAGGGAAGCCAUUAAGUCUGCCGCCUGGGAAGUACGGCCGCAAGGCUGAAACUUAAAGGAAUUGGCGGGGGAGCACCACCAGGCGUGAAGCCUGCGGUUUAAUUGGAGUCAACGCCGGGAACCUUACCGGGAGCGACAGCAGAGUGAAGGCCAGGCUAAAGGUCUUGCCAGACGAGCUGAGAGGAGGUGCAUGGCCGUCGCCAGUUCGUGCCGUGAGGUGUCCUCUUAAGUGAGGUAACGAACGAGACCCGUGCCGCAUGUUGCUAACAAAUCCUAAAGGGAUGUUGAGCACUCUUGCGGGACUGCAGCCGACAAGGCUGAGGAAGGUACGGGCCACGGCAGGUCAGUAUGCCCCGAAUCUCCCGGGCCACACGCGGGCUGCAAUGGUAGAGACAGAGGGCUGCCACCCCGAGAGGGGGAGCCAAUCCCUAAACUCUACCUCAGUUGGGAUUGAGGGCUGCAACCCGCCCUCAUGAACAUGGAAUGCCUAGUAAUUGCCAGUCAUCAUCUGGCGGUGAAUACGUCCCUGCUCCUUGCACACACUGCCCGUCGAACCACCCGAAUGAGGUCGGGGUGAGGCAUGAUCGAAUGUUGGUCGUGUCGAACCUGGGCCUCGUAAGGAGGGUU